rnacentral:rRNA from 1 species
AUACAUAGGGGGCAAGCGUUAUCCGGAAUUAUUGGGCGUAAAGGGUGCGUAGGCGGUCUAUUAAGUCUGAGGUGUAAGUGCAGGGCUCAACCCUGUGAUGCUUUAGAAACUGGUAGACUUGAGUGAGAUAGAGGCAAGUGGAAUUCCAUGUGUAGCGGUAAAAUGCGUAAAUAUAUGGAGGAACACCAGUGGCGAAGGCGGCUUGCUGGGUCUAUACUGACGCUGAGGCACGAAAGCGUGGGGAGCAAACAGGAUUAGAUACCCUGGUAGUCCACGCCGUAAACGAUGAGUACUAAGUGUUGGGGGAACCCAGUGCUGUAGUUAACAUAUUAAGUACUCCGCCUGAGUAGUACGUACGCAAGUAUGAAACUCAAAUGAAUUGGCGGGG